rnacentral:sRNA from 1 species
GCGUACAAGAUAGUCUCAUGAGUACCUGCGAGAUAGACGAUACUGAAUUGUCAAACGGGUUGUUGCUGGCCCUCAUAGGGGGCAUGUGCACGCUCUGUUUACACAUCCACUCACACCUGUGCACCCUCUGUAGUUCUAUGGUCUGGGGGACCCUGUCUUCCUUCUGUGGUUCUACGUCUUUACACACACACUGUAAUAAAGUUUUAUGGAAUGUACAUCGCGUCUAACGCAAUACAAUACAACUUUCAGCAACGGAUCUCUUGGCUCUCGCAUCGAUGAAGAACGCAGCGAAAUGCGAUAAGUAAUGUGAAUUGCAGAAUUCAGUGAAUCAUCGAAUCUUUGAACGCACCUUGCGCCCCUUGGCUAUUCCGAGGGGCAUGCCUGUUUGAGUAUCAUGAACACCUCAACUCUCAUGGUUUGCCAUGAUGAGUUGGACUCUGGGGGUUUUGCUGGCCUGUGGUCGGCUCCUCUCAAAUUAAUCAGCCUCCCAGUGUUUGGUGGCAUCACGGGUGUGAUAAAUAUCUACGCUCGCUGUUGUCUGCCAGGUAACCUUUGGUCACAAAGGUUUGCUGGAGCUCACAGAUGUCUCUCCUCAGCGAGGACAGCUUUUUUAACGUUCGAUCUCAAAUC